UUCCUGGUGGUCCAGUGGCUGAGACUCUGUGCUCCCAAUGCAGAGGGCACAGGUUCAAUCCCUGGUUGGGAAA
rnacentral:tRNA from 1 species